UGUAGCUGCUGAUCCCAUGCUACAGCAGCGAGAGAGAGAGUGAAAGGGAGGAGGAGGAGGGACAUCAGGUGUCACAGCUCUGCAACCCCAGAUGAAGCUGCAUUACCACGACAACCAACUCCGGGGGGUGCCGCCAGCUCUCUGCCUUGGCCAGCCCAGGACCCAAAUGCACGGCCAGCACCACGUCCAGCUACCCACCCACCCAUCCAUCCGCCCAAACAGCCAAGCCAGCCCUGCGCAGAACUGGCAACUCGCAGGAGUCAUCAGGCUGCCACAGAUGUAGCGAAGAUUAGGAGAGAGAAGAAGAGGCAUAGCUGACUCUGUGCACCCAGGGAGGAUGCAAUGAG